rnacentral:rRNA from 1 species
CUACGGGUGGCUGCAGUAGGGAAUCUUGCGCAAUGGACGAAAGUCUGACGCAGCAACUCCGCGUGAGGGAAGACGGGCUUCGGUUUGUAAACCUCUUUUAUUUAGGAAGAAACUUUUCAGUGCUAAUCAGCUGGAAAUUGACGGUACUAUUUGAAUAAGCGACGGCUAAAUACGUGCCAGCAGCCGCGGUAAUACGUAUGUCGCAAGCGUUAUUCGGAAUCACUGGGCGUAAAGAGUUCGUAGGCGGAUCGGCAAGUCAGAAGUGAAAUUUUGGGGCUUAACCCCGAAACUGCUUUUGAAACUGCUUAUUUUGAGUAUGUGAGAGGAAGAUGGAAUUCCUGGUGUAGCGGUGGAAUGCGUAGAUAUCAGGAAGAACACCGGUGGCGAAGGCGGUCUUCUGGCACAAUACUGACGCUGAGGAACGAAAGCGUGGGGAGCGAACAGGAUUAGAUACCCUAGUAGUC